UAGAGAAGUCAAUGAUGUACCUAACAUGUCUGAACCUGUCUGAAGCAUCUCAGUGAUGUAAUCUGUGUGGUUCUGAGACUUCUCUGCUA